UUCUUCCUUUGCUAUUUAUUUUGUCCAGUGUCCUACUAGGAUUUAUAGGUAUCUGGUGGGUAUACAUCCGUAGUAGCGAUAAAAACGGGCCAAUAUGCAGGGUACUUUAUUAGGUCAUAGUUUUCAGGCCAUUUUUAAGCCCUUUACAAAAGCGCUUCCAUUCGUAAUGCUUUUGAGCCAGUAUUGGGUUUUACUAUGGAUAAGUACGUGGCCUAGGUAGUAUAUAUGACUCUCUCUUUCCCCUUCCGGGGAUGCUUACGAAAGAGGGUCUUUUCCAAGAUUACACUAUGAAGCAUUUGCUUAUCAAGCCGACUGACGGGCAGCGCAUCAACACUUAAUGGAUAAGCUACGGUAAUGGGUAUCCGAAUUGACGGGCAGCGCCAUCAACACUUAAUGGAUAAGCUACGGUAAUAGGUAUCCGUAUAAGAUAAACG
rnacentral:lncRNA from 1 species